GAUGAACGCUAGCGGAAGGCUUAAUACAUGCAAGUCGAGCGGUAGGUGGCUUCGGCCAUUGAGAGCGGCGCACGGGUGAGUAACGCGUACAUGACCUGCCUGUCAGAAGGGGAUAGCCCUGGGAAACUGGGAUUAAUACCCCUAUGGUAUUGAUAUUAUGAAUGAUAUCAAUUAAAGUUGAGGCGCUGACAGAUGGAUGUGCGUCUGAUUAGCUAGUUGGUAGGGUAACGCCUACCAAGGCGACGAUCAGGUAGGGGGCGUGAGAGCGUCGGUCCCCCACGACGGGUACUGAGACACGGACCCGACUCCGUAC
rnacentral:rRNA from 1 species